rnacentral:rRNA from 1 species
UACGUAGGGUGCAAGCGUUGUCCGGAAUUAUUGGGCGUAAAGAGCUCGUAGGCGGUCUGUCGCGUCGGCUGUGAAAACCCGGAGCUCAACUCCGGGCCUGCAGUCGAUACGGGCAAACUGGAGUGUUGCAGGGGAGACUGGAAUUCCUGGUGUAGCGGUGAAAUGCGCAGAUAUCAGGAGGAACACCGGUGGCGAAGGCAGCACUCUGGGACGGUACUGACGCUGAGACGCGAAAGCGUGGGGAGCAAACAGG